UACAGAGGGGGCAAGCGUUAUUCGGAAUUAUUGGGCGUAAAGGGCGCGUAGGCGGCUUUGCAAGUGACGGGUGAAAUCCCACGGCUUAACCGUGGAACUGCCUGUCAGACUGCAUGGCUUGAGACCAGGAGAGGUGAGUGGAAUUCCCAGUGUAGCGGUGAAAUGCGUAGAUAUUGGGAGGAACACCGGUGGCGAAGGCGGCAUCCUGGACCGGCAUUGACGCUGAGGCGCGAAAGCCAGGGGAGCAAAGCGGG
rnacentral:rRNA from 1 species